UACGGGGGGAGCAAGCGUUGUUCGGAUUUACUGGGCGUAAAGAGCGCGCAGGCGGUCGUUCAAGUCGAGUGUGAAAGCCCCCGGCUCAACUGGGGAGGGUCACUCGAUACUGAUCGACUCGAAGGCAGAAGAGGGAAGCGGAAUUCCCGGUGUAGUGGUGAAAUGCGUAGAUAUCGGGAGGAACACCAGUGGCGAAGGCGGCAUCCUGGACCGGCAUUGACGCUGAGGCGCGAAAGCCAGGGGAGCAAACGGG
rnacentral:rRNA from 1 species